CAGUCGCCGCGGGAAAACGGAGGGUGCAAGCGUUAAUCGGAAUUACUGGGCGUAAAGCGCACGCAGGCGGUCUGACAAGUCAGAUGUGAAAUCCCCGGGCUUAACCUGGGAACUGCAUUUGAAACUGGCAGGCUAGAGUCUUGUAGAGGGGGGUAGAAUUCCAGGUGUAGCGGUGAAAUGCGUAGAGAUCUGGAGGAAUACCGGUGGCGAAGGCGGCCCCCUGGACAAAGACUGACGCUCAGGUGCGAAAGCGUGGGGAGCAAACAGGAUUAGAUACCCCGGUAGUCCCUGUCUCUUAUAC
rnacentral:rRNA from 1 species